UCAUUCGCCCCCUCAUGGAUU
rnacentral:piRNA from 1 species